GCAAGUCGAACGGGCCUGCCUGGCUUUGGUUGGGUGGGUGAGUGGCGAACGGGUGUGUAACCCGUGAGUAACCUGCCCUCUUCUCUUGGAUAACUGCUUGUAAGGGCGGCUAAUACGGGAUGUUCUGGCUGCCUCGCAUGGGGUGGUUUGGAAAGAUUCGGACUGGUUUUGGUUGGUUUGGUGGGGGAUGGGCUCGCGGCUUAUCAGCUUGUUGGUGGGGUGAUGGCCUACCAAGGCGGUGACGGGUAGCCGGCCUGAGAGGGUGGAC
rnacentral:rRNA from 1 species